AUUGAACGCUGGCGGCAUGCCUUACACAUGCAAGUCGAACGGCAGCACGGACUUCGGUCUGGUGGCGAGUGGCGAACGGGUGAGUAAUGUAUCGGAACGUGCCUAGUAGUGGGGGAUAACUAGUCGAAAGAUUAGCUAAUACCGCAUACGACCUACGGGUGAAAGUGGGGGAUCGCAAGACCUCAUGCUAUUAGAGCGGCCGAUAUCAGAUUAGCUAGUUGGUGGGGUAAAGGCCCACCAAGGCAACGAUCUGUAGCUGGUCUGAGAGGACGACCAGCCACACUGGGACUGAGACACGGCCCAGACUCCUACGGGAGGCAGCAGUGGGGAAUUUUGGACAAUGGGGGCAACCCUGAUCCAGCAAUGCCGCGUGUGUGAAGAAGGCCUUCGGGUUGUAAAGCACUUUUGUCAGAGAAGAAAACUGUUGCGCUAAUAUCGCGACGGGAUGACGGUAUCUGAAGAAUAAGGACCGGCUAACUACGUGCCAGCCGCCGCGGUAA
rnacentral:rRNA from 1 species